GUGGGUGGGACCUGGUGCCGGAGAUAUCCGGUCUCACCGUCUGCGGGUGCAAGCAGCUCCUCUUGCUCUCGGGCGUGAGGCAGCAGCUGCCGGCGUUGCGUGGGGCUCCCGGAGCACAAUGCUCUAGCUAGGCCGGGGUCCACGCCCUGAGCCGAAAGCAUCAACUGAAAGCGGCGCAGCGCAGAGCCGUCAUCCAACGCCGCGGCCACUCGGAAGGCGCCUUGGUCUUGCGUUUCCGCCUGUCCGCUAAGCCAAAGAAUGGCGCCUCCUGCUGGCGGGCGGGGUGGUGCUCAGAAACCGCAGGGACUGAGAGCUCCUGGCCUACAGACUGGUGGUCUUAACCCCAGCCCUCUCACCUAGCCUAAUGACCAGGUCCCGCAGAUCCGGCGGCCCCGCGCCAUCCAGGCAAAGCAACGCUUCUUCCACUUCCAGGGUAUGGCCCACGUUGCGGCCCAGAGGGUUAUCCAUGGCGGUCAGAGCUGCGGCGACUUGCAGCCCCAGACCCAUUCCCACCCUUACCUGGGGAGGCAUUAUUUAGUAUCCAGCAUUAUCAAAUCCCAUACCUGCUGCCCCUGGGUUAUGAUAUCAGUAAAGGCUUAGGGUAGAGAUCAGAAACCAGCACUGCCAGGCCUCAGAGGGGAUGGGGGUGGUCUUGUCGGUUGCCCUAAGUGGAGGGGCUCUGUGGAGGAUUUCCCCAAGUCCGCGGUCAGGAUAGGAUAGGAUAGGAUUGGAUAGGGUAGGAGCGCUGGAAAGAGGGAUUGCCGUUUGGCUCUACCAGGACAGUUGAGUGGACAGAGACAGGGAUACGACGGAACAUGAAGUUCAUGUUUCUUAGAAAGGCUACUAUGGCCUAGCAUGGCUCACCAACGUCUUUGCCAGUUCUCGGGCCUUCUCCUGGUCUGGGAAGACUGCGGCCCCCCCAAACUUAACAUCUACCACCAGAGUGGACAGCCCCUCCACGGCCUUCUUACUGAGGAUUGAAGCUGCAGAGAACAGAAACACCACCCCAGGGAUGAUGUAUACUUGGGGACAGGAAGGGUUGCCUCUCUGAGAAAGGUGGCAGUGCUCAGUGGAUUGUACGUCAGUCAGGGUACCCCAUUUCAGGUCACCUGUAAUGAGUGGCACACUGUCCACAGUAGCUGUGACAUCUCGUGCAGCAUACAGGAUUCCGUCAGCAGGGGCCAGCUUUACACUCUGGCCAACAAUGCAGCAGCCGACUUCCUCAAGUAUUCGUCGCAUCUGCUCAGACACCUUCAUUUACUUCUAGGGAAGGACCUACACUCACUGGCCCUGACCACUGACCCAGCAAAAGUUCAAAACAUGGUCAGUGAGAGUCAGGGUCUCUGGCGCCCGUCAGUCUCGUGUUUUUACUCAACACCCCAUCUCCAACCCGAUCUGGCUUCCAUUUCUCGACCUCGCAAAUCGAUCCUCCUCUUCCCUUCACCCCUCCUCCCCCGUCCCCCACGUCUAGUACCUGUUCAGUUCAGAGGCCUUUACCAGUUUUCUGGAUCUGGCUCGGCUCUGGCCUGUUAUCCCUCAGCCCUGCGUGGACUUGAGUACAGCGGAGACGGUUCACCGUCCAGGACUACCGUUAGGGACGGCGGAAAAAUAGGGCAGUCCCAGUAGGCGGCACUUGUCAAGGUAAGGCCAAUCACCACUUCAGCUGUUCCCCACCCGCUAUCUGGCUAAUUGAGGUUGCCAGGACCUUAAGGGUUGGGUUACAGCGCUCCAGACCGGAGUUCGCUCUGUCCAGUUCCCUGGGAUCUUGGUAUCUAUGAGUCCCAGGCACUGCUUGUCCUGUUUGACUGAUCUCUAGGUUCAGAUACCACUGAGACAGACUCUCGAAGCUCGAACUCCCCUCAUCCUCUCUUCCCCCACCCCACCUUGCCCGCUUCGGAGAAAGAGAGACACACAGCACUGACUUAGAAAGCUUUAAGUAAACAUCGGAGGGCCUGUG